AUACGUAGGGUGCAAGCGUUAAUCGGAAUUACUGGGCGUAAAGCGUGCGCAGGCGGUUUUGUAAGACCGAGGUGAAAUCCCCGGGCUCAACCUGGGAACUGCCUUUGUGACUGCAAGGCUAGAGUACGGCAGAGGGGGAUGGAAUUCCGCGUGUAGCAGUGAAAUGCGUAGAUAUGCGGAGGAACACCGAUGGCGAAGGCAAGCCCCGGGGCGUGUACGGACUCUCAUGCACGAAAGCGUGGGGAGCACACAUGAUUAGAUCCCCUGGUAGUCCACGCCCUAAACGAUGUCAACUGGUUGUUGGGUCUUCAUUGACUCAGUAACGAAGCUAACGCGUGAAGUUGACCGCCUGGGGAGUACGGCCGCAAGGUUGAAACUCAAAUGAAUUGACGGGG
rnacentral:rRNA from 1 species